GAGAGCCGAAGGGGAGGAGGCUGCUGUGCCCUAUUGACUAGACUGUCCAAAUUAGAAAAGAUAACAUAUUAAAAACACGGUCUGGGUUAGGUAGUCGCCAUUGCCAGCAGGAGGUUUCCAUUUGAGGGAACAUUUUAACCCAUCAAUUUCCGAUAUUGAAGGUUGUCCAAAGCAAGUCCCAAAAUCUAUGAACAGGUCCAAGCCCAUAACUAUUGUGAAAAGGCAUGGAGGAUGCACAUCCCAAAAGGAAAAUGUUAACACCUUCGGAUUCAACCCGACCAACCGAGUCGAUGAACUUAUACCAACUGAGAAAUAAUCGAGUUGUAUUUGGUCUGGGACCCUACAACCUCAAGCGUCUAAAACAAUCCUGACAAUAUCAAUAUUACACGUAACUAGAGGUGGGGGUUAUAGGUCCGCCUGUUCGACGACCCCAAAAAGGGAGAGACAACUUGAAACUAGUGGUAGACAAAGAAGAAACAGACUAGAGGUCAAGCCCAUGAGAGAGCCACGACAUCCUCCAAUGCGAACAAGAUCCAACGCCAACCAUACUUAUACAAAUUUAUUAAACUAUAUCCACUUUUAGUUAUUUAGAUUUUUAACUUAAUAUCGUGGUUACCAUUGCUUUCAUUUUUUUCAAUUAUAGAAAACUAAAUAAAACUAAAAUAUAGAGAGAGA